GACUCCAUGCAUCAGCAAGCAGACUGCAAUAUGAGCUUGGUUAACAAUCUGUGGAUAAUGCAUAAACCAGAUGAGAAACCACCUUGCUCUCCCACAACCGAGUUUGCCUUGCAAUAAAUAUACAGCAAACAGCACAAGUCCUGAUCCUGCAGACUUGAGUACUUUAUUCACCAUUCACCCAGUCAAAGUCCACUGAGGGAGAUGAAGAAAGGCUGAUUUUUUAAAUCAAAAUGUUGAAGUCAACUGGAUGAUUCAGUGCCAAAAGGUAGUACUUUGAUGAAGUGACAUUGCAGAUAGGAAUUUACACUCUUUGAAGAUUCCUGGCACAUCUGAAGACAGAAAAUACUGCAUAUCUAAAUGUUUUAGUUAUACAAUGAGGAUUCGACUUCUCUUCCAUUAGUUGCUACUUGGAAUUCUAUGCAAUUGCCAAUUUAUGGAUAUUCUGUAACUUAUCCAUGGGAAACACUGAAAGUUGAGACUGACAGAAGUAUCAGAACCAUCACAUUGCUGACAUGCCAGAGAACAGAAAGAUAGUUAAACUGAGUCACAGAAACAUGAAGCGAUUUACAGAAGAUCACCCAGAAGGCCAACAGUGAAAUGAGGAAUAGAAUCUGUCUCUCCUUAUUCCCUGAGAGAUACUUUAUCCCAGUGGUCACCAACCAGUGGAUCUUGAUCCACCAGCAGAUCUCAGAGCCUCUUGGAGGCGAUCCAAGGCUGGCAUGGAGGGCUGAGUGCCCGUGUGCCCCAGCCCAGCAGGUCAGUCUGUGGGGGAGGGAAGGGGCGGGGGCUAGAUUGACGCCCCCACAGUGAGGGACAGUGCCCACAGAGGCAAGAGCAGGGUUAAGUUGAGUGAAGCCCUGGCCAGGUGGGACUUACCUGCUAGGGAGGCACAUCCCCAAAUAAUUUUUUCUCCC